UCCACCAGGGAAUAGGCCCACGAAUAGGUCUGUUCCGCCAUGGUACAGCCUUACUUCUGAUCAAGGAACUCACUUUACAACCAAAGAAAUGUGACGGGAACUCAGAGGGUAAGCCUUGCUGGCUAAUAGGUCCCAGGCCUUGUGGGAGCCGGGGGUUACCAUGCAUGCAUGGCCAAGUCUAAGAACCAUGCCACAUACAACCACAAAUGGCACAGAAAUGGCAUCAAGAAACCCUGGUCACAAAGAUAUGAAUCUCUUAAGGGGUUUGACCCCAAGUUCCUGAGGAGCAUGCACUUUUCCAAGAAGCAGAAGAAAGAUCUGAAAAAAAAAUGCAGGCCAACAAUGCAAAGGCAGUGAGGGCAUGCACAGAGGCCAUCAAGGCCCUUGUGAAGCCUCAAGCCUUCAAGCCCAAGAUGCCAAAGGGCCCCAGCCGCAAACUCAGCUGCCUGGCUUUCAUUGUUCACCCCAAGCUUGGGAAGCGAAUUCGAAGCUACAUGGCCAAGGGGUAGACUCUACCAACCAAAGCCCAAGGUUCAGAUGGAGGCAGAGGCCAAAGCUCCAGCUAAGGCUCCCAAAGGUGCCCAGGCCCCUGUGAAAGACUCAUAGAAAAGGCUCUUGCCAGUGUGAAGACAGACAGACUGCUGUGACACACCUACCCACACACUUUUUGGAGAUGACCAGUGUCCUAUGCUGUUUUUACAAAUAAAUGAGGCAAAACUGAAAAAAAAAUCCUUAGGUAAUUAAGCAAGGACCUAUUCACUAAAUAUCUCAUUGAUACUGAAAUGCGAGUAAUUAACUUAAAAAUUUUGACUGCUUAUAUCUGCUGCUGGAAAUAUAUGCCUGUCUAGGGGA